UUAAACGAUUUAGAUUACUUUUCAAAAUUAUUUGUGACAAUUGUAGCUUUAUACCACUAAAAUGCUUCGUAAUAUUGGGAGGGUUGGGUUGGGUCUUUCCUAUAAUUCCAUAGAAAGUGCUAAAAGAAAAUGGCUUUGGAACAUGCCAGAAAAGAAUAUUGAUGAAAAGACCUUAAAGCAAAUGUCACCAGACGUUAAGGAUAAGCAAAAUUUUAAUAUUAGUAGUCUUAAGAUUGUAUCUCAAGACUCUAACUAAUAUUUAAGAAAAUAUUAUAAAAUUAUAGCAGAGAAUAGAGACGUCAAACUACUAAACUACAGAAUAUUUUAUAUUCUCUGCUUUCACGGACAAAACUUUGACGUCUAAAACACAUAUAGAAGUAUAUGAAAUGUUGACGAAAGUUUCAAUACCUGGAGAUCAAAGUAUGAAUUGUCGCGAGAAAUUCCCUGUUUUCAGGAAGAAUUCUUUGAGGACCGGACUGAUGACUCUAUCAUUCAGUGAGCUGAAGCGGCAAUAAUACACUUACAAGUAAAUAGUCCAUAUCUGGCUGAACAUGGCAGAUCGAAAGGUCCGAGCUAAAAACUGCGACUUUAUUGUAUAUCUCCUAAUUUAAUAGACUACACUUUGGUGGUUUCUAUGUAAUCUGUUAUGUGCAUCUUGAGUACAUUGAUAAGAAAUAUUGAUAAACAUUCUUAAAAUUGCAGAACAUAACAGAAAAGGUCUUCGCUAAAACCUGUAUAUCACUGCAGACGUUUAAAUUUGGUAAUAAUACAUGCACAAGGUAAAAAACAUGCACAUAGACUCCGGAAUCAAAUUCUGAUAACUGAGCUGAUGACUAAAUUAUUGCCUCUAGCACACGAACAACUAUAUUGGUCAAAAAUAUUCAUGAACACUAUUCAUCCACAACAGCAGAUGAGAGGAUGUAAGAUGUGUGCUAUGAACUAUAAAUUAUGGCAAAAGCUUUAAUUGACGAGACUUUAGACAAUUAUAAAACAUAUGUAAAUAUAUAGCUUUCAGGGACAAAGCUUCGACAACGAAUCUGUCGAAUAACUGGCCAACUAAAAUACAUGUAUAAAUCUAGCGGUAAAAAAUGUUGACAUGAACUGCAUUGUGAACUGAGCAUAAUAGGCUAAAACCCACAUACCAAACAGUACACACCAUUGGAGAAAUUGGAAAAGAAAACUUAAUGCUUUCUGCUUUCACAAACUUAAGGAAAUUAAUUGAGGACCCAGGCUCCGAUGACUAUAGGUGGCACGAUGAAAGAUCUACGCCGAAACUAAUAUAUUUAGAGAACUUCAAUACUACAGCUAGUAUAAUGAAUAGUAGUAAUCGUUUACGAAAACGAUCCUUAGCAAAUACAAACACGUUAGGGCACAACCUUGUUGGUAACACCCUCAAAAAAUGUAGCUUAAAUUUCGUAAGUGAAUUGUAGACAAUCAGCGGAAGACAAAUGACGUAACUUAUUUUUUUUAUGAAAUAAAUUAAGUAAGACGUGACAAGCGAGAUAUAAAGCCAGAAAUCAAACUUCAACGCCUGUAUGGGACCUCAUAGGAUAAUUGGACAGUAUGUGUUGUGUAGCGAGUGUUUAUAUGGUAUAUUCAAAAACAAGGCAACACUUUUAAUAUAUUUAGGAAGAAAAACGAGGAAGAUGACGAGUACUUCACACAUCUACAGUUAUAUGCAGAUCGGUAGACAUCUAAGCCAAUAGUUACCACAUACACCUAACUAAUAAACCCAUUAAAAUAAUGCAAAUCUAUAACAGAUGAGUUACAAAAACACAACUCAACCUCAAACUAAUAAUUUCGCAAGUUGGUGAUGAAAAUAAUGAAAACAAAAUUGCAUUAACAAAAUUAUAAAUAUAUUUGAGAAAAAAA